ACAAAAAGGCUGACCCAUGUGGUGAAUGCAGCCACAAAAUGGCUGCCACAUCUUCCCUUCAGUCACACAGUAAAGAUACUUGAGCUGUGGUCGCAGCUACUGCCAAACCAACUCUUUUUUUUUUUUUGCUUCUGCACAGUCAAAUCAAAUCUUCAGCUGUCCUAUCUGGUGCUGCCUACUUUCUAAAAACAUUUGACAGGGUCCCGAAAAGGUAUUAGUGGGCACUGUCUUGGGACCUCUGUUCUAAUUUUUCAUGGAAUAGGACUUUCGCCUCCUUCUGGCCUCCCCACAAAAGGAGAAUCAGUGGAAUCUCAACAACAGCACAGGGGAAAGAGUAGGGAGUCUGAAGUUGGAGUAGGAAUUGGAUGGCAAUUGCCAUUCCCUCUUCCUCAAAUGAAAAUACCAUUCCAUGUGAGGAACCGUGUGGUUGGAUAUACACCAAUGAACAUUGGCCCACACAUUCCACAGUAGCCCAUUUAACGGGAAUCUUGAGCUUAUCCCUAAAAAAGGAGUUGUUCUCAGAUACAUCAUGGUACACUGAAAAACCUGUGUCGACAGCACAGAUAACCACUCCAUUUUUUUUAGUUUCCUUUCUUACACGAUUCUGCACAAAACUUUCUUUAAUAUAUUUUUCUAAGCAGCUCUGUCAUGUUGGGAUUGCUAGUGUCACGAACAUGUUUAAGUGUGUGCGUGUGAUGUGUAAAUAAAGAUAGUAGUGCCAGAUGUAGUUCCGUGAUUGUACAGCUGAUGUUACCAUUCUCAUUUGUUUGUCGUCUUUUGUACAUAAGCUGAUUCCCACUUACCGUCCUGAGCUCGGAGCUCCUGUCUGGUGGACCAGGUCAUGAUGGCUGAAUGAUAAUUUGAUGUACAAAGAAUACUCUCACUCCCAAUUGCAACUUUGUUUUUUUCAUUUACUGGUUGUUUUUUUCCCCCUGAAUCUGAAAUAAAAUGACUUUUGACUGAA